rnacentral:misc_RNA from 1 species
UUGAUUGUCGAAAAGCGAAUC